rnacentral:lncRNA from 13 species
AGAACUAUGGUUGGUGGAUCGGGGAGAUGAAGGGGUCUGUUGGCAUCGUUCCUAAAGAGUACCUCAUGGAGUUGUACGCCAUUUAAAGGCCUGAGUAGGGCAUCUAAAUCCAAUCAUCUUCCAUGUGAGAUGCAGGGAAACAGACCAUAUCUGAAGAGGACACUGAACUAAGCAGCAAAGCCAAACUGUCUGUCGCAAAAUGAAAAAUAUCAGAUGCAGGUCGUGUCCAUCUUGAUCUCGCUAAGCGCUUUAAGGAGUUGUCUCGGCAGAUUGAGUUCAGUAAACUGCUUUUGUUUAAUUUAUUAUCGCUGCAUUUCCCCUUUUGACACAGUCUUUGUAUUGUGAACUGUCUAGAAUGAAUCACUUAUGGAGUCUUUGUAUUGUGAA